GUCUCGGUAUGGAGUUCAGACUGUCCUGGACCUCACUAUGGAGUCCAGGCUGGCGUUGAACUUACAACGAUCCUCCUGUGUCAGCCUCUGCAGUGUUGGGAUUAGAGGUGUGUGCUACCAUGCCCGGCUAAGGAGGAAGAUCUGCAAGGUGCAAAGGGAUCCAGGAAAAGACAUUCUUGAGAUAAUCACCUUUUCUGUCUAACCCUCUUUCCAUACCUCAGACCCUUAUAAAAACCGCAAUCUCUCACCCCGUGGUGUGAUUCCUCUCUGGGAACAUGCCCACCAGGCUCCUGGCAGUGUUCGCUGAUCUGAAUAAAUGUGGG
ensembl:lncRNA